GCGUAUAUUAAGUUGUUGCAGUUAAAAAGCUCGUAGUUGAAUUUCGGGGUCAGUAGGUUGGUCGUGCCUAUGGUAUGUACUGGCUUUACUGAUUCCUCCUUCUUGAAGAACUGUAAUGUCAUUAAUUUGGUGUUGCAGGGAAACAGGACUGUUACUUUGAAAAAAUUAGAGUGUUUAAAGCAGGCUAACGCUUGAAUACAUUAGCAUGGAAUAAUGAAAUAGGACGUUUGAUCCUAUUUUGUUGGUUUCUAGGAUUGACGUAAUGAUUAAUAGGGAUAGUUGGGGGCAUUAGUAUUCAAUUGUCAGAGGUGAAAUUCUUGGAUUUAUUGAAGACUGACUACUGCGAAAGCAUUUGCCAAGGAUGUUUUCAUUAAUCAAGAACGAAAGUUAGGGGAUCGAAGACGAUCAGAUACCGUCGUAGUCUUAACCAUAAA
rnacentral:rRNA from 1 species